rnacentral:rRNA from 1 species
CCGGAGCUAACGCGUUAAGUAGACCGCCUGGGGAGUACGGCCGCAAGGUUAAAACUCAAAUGAAUUGACGGGGGCCCGCACAAGCGGUGGAGCAUGUGGUUUAAUUCGAUGCAACGCGAAGAACCUUACCUGGUCUUGACAUCCACAGAAGUUUGCAGAGAUGCGAAUGUGCCUUCGGGAACUGUGAGACAGGUGCUGCAUGGCUGUCGUCAGCUCGUGUUGUGAAAUGUUGGGUUAAGUCCCGCAACGAGCGCAACCCUUAUCCUUUGUUGCCAGCGGUUAGGCCGGGAACUCAAAGGAGACUGCCAGUGAUAAACUGGAGGAAGGUGGGGAUGACGUCAAGUCAUCAUGGCCCUUACGACCAGGGCUACACACGUGCUACAAUGGCGCAUACAAAGAGAAGCGACCUCGCGAGAGCAAGCGGACCUCAUAAAGUGCGUCGUAGUCCGGAUUGGAGUCUGCAACUCGACUCCAUGAAGUCGGAAUCGCUAGUAAUCGUGGAUCAGAAUGCCACGGUGAAUACGUUCCCGGGCCUUGUACACACCGCCCGUCACACCAUGGGAGUGGGUUGCAAAAGAAGUAGGUAGCUUAACCUUCGGGAGGGCGCUUACCACUUUGUGAUUCAUGACUGGGGUGAAGUCGUAACAAGGUAACCGUAGGGGAACCUGCGGUUGGAUCACCUCCUUACCUGAAAGAA